rnacentral:rRNA from 1 species
UACGUAGGGUGCGAGCGUUGUCCGGAAUUAUUGGGCGUAAAGAGCUCGUAGGCGGCUUGUCGCGUCGGAUGUGAAAGCCCGGGGCUUAACUCCGGGUAUGCAUUCGAUACGGGCAGGCUAGAGUUCGGUAGGGGAGAUCGGAAUUCCUGGUGUAGCGGUGAAAUGCGCAGAUAUCAGGAGGAACACCGGUGGCGAAGGCGGAUCUCUGGGCCGAUACUGACGCUGAGGAGCGAAAGCGUGGGGAGCGAACAGG